rnacentral:rRNA from 1 species
UACGUAGGGUGCAAGCGUUGUCCGGAAUUAUUGGGCGUAAAGAGCUCGUAGGCGGUGUGUCGCGUCGGCCGUGAAAACCUGCAGCUUAACUGUGGGCGUGCGGUCGAUACGGGCAUCACUGGAGUUCGGCAGGGGAGACUGGAAUUCCUGGUGUAGCGGUGAAAUGCGCAGAUAUCAGGAGGAACACCGGUGGCGAAGGCGGGUCUCUGGGCAGUAACUGACGCUGAGGAGCGAAAGCGUGGGGAGCGAACAGG